AUGGGUCGUACCAAUGUCAAUCCUAUUUGGGGUAAGAUUUGGAAAUUAUCAUGUCCGACAAAGGUAAAGAUAUUUAUUUGGCGAACGUUGCAUGGAACUCUACCUUGUCGUGUUACACUUGCCAAUAGACAUAUAAAAGUUUCGCCCCUUUGUCCAUCUUGCUCGAAUGGGCAAGAAGAUACAAAGCAAAUCUUGUUUCUGUGUCAGAAGGCAAAAGAGGUUUGGGGAAAGCUGGGGAUGUACGAGGUAAUUAAGAAAGCUUGUGUUAUUGAUCGUGCGGGUGAGGCGGUUCUUGAAUUUUUACUUUUUAUGCCGCACCAAGAACUAUCUAUAUUAGGUUGCCAAAAUACAAGUGAAUUAAUCGCGAUAACCGCCUGGUAUUUAUGGUGGGAGAGACGCAUGUUGGUUCAUGAAGGGAAAUCUCAAGAAGUGAAUCAGAUUUCGAUGGGGAUUCGUGCUAUAACUGCAAACUAUGUGAAUGCCCACUCCUCUAGUGCGACUAGUAGAAAAUAA
rnacentral:rRNA from 1 species